rnacentral:tRNA from 1 species
GCCCGGAUGGCGGAAUUGGUAGACGCACCAGACUCAAAAUCUGGCGGUGGCAACACCGUGCCGGUUCAAGUCCGGCUCCGGGCA